CACGCCGUAAACGAUGAAUGCUAGGUGUUGGGGGUCAAACCUCGGUGCCGAAGUUAACACAUUAAGCAUUCCGCCUGGGGAGUACGGUGGCAACACUGAAACUCAAAGGAAUUGACGGGGACCCGCACAAGCAGCGGAGCAUGUGGUUUAAUUCGAAGCAACGCGAAGAACCUUACCAGGACUUGACAUAUAGAUGCCCGGUGUAGAGAUACACUUUUUUCUUCUGAAACAUCUAUACAGGUGG
rnacentral:rRNA from 1 species